rnacentral:rRNA from 1 species
UGGGGAAUAUUGGACAAUGGGCGCAAGCCUGAUCCAGCCAUGCCGCGUGUGUGAAGAAGGCCUUAUGGUUGUAAAGCACUUUAAGCGAGGAGGAGGCUACUUUAGUUAAUACCUAGAGAUAGUGGACGUUACUCGCAGAAUAAGCACCGGCUAACUCUGUGCCAGCAGCCGCGGUAAUACAGAGGGUGCAAGCGUUAAUCGGAAUUACUGGGCGUAAAGCGCGCGUAGGUGGUUCGUUAAGUUGAAUGUGAAAGCCCCGGGCUCAACCUGGGAACUGCAUCCAAGACUGGCGAGCUAGAGUAGGGCAGAGGGUGGUGGAAUUUCCUGUGUAGCGGUGAAAUGCGUAGAUAUAGGAAGGAACACCAGUGGCGAAGGCGACCACCUGGGCUCAUACUGACACUGAGGUGCGAAAGCGUGGGGAGCAAACAGG